ACUAAUAUACCCUUAAUAACUAAAAACUAGCUUUUCUCUUCUUGUCUCUCUCUCUAAGUAUACCGACCUCUCUCUCUCAAACCAGAACUGCUUUCUCGCUGAUCAGAAAUUUUCUUCUGGUUUUGGGUUUUCAGAUUCUCUUGGCUUCUGUUUGGUUGGUGGGAAAGCAUCUUGGGCAAUUUCAGCUCGCAAUUCCAGUGAGUUAGUGGACAUUCGAAUGCUGAACUAAGUUUGCAGAUUUUUUUUGUUGAGCAAACGAUAUUUACCUACGCUAAAGAGAAGGGGAUAGGUUUGUAGAUUUUGGAGGAGCUCUGUAAGAGUAGAACCUCUGGCGUGUAGUUCCUUUAUAUGAGGAAGUUUUUAUUCAUUAAUAAUAUAUUAAUAAUUUUAUAUUAA